rnacentral:rRNA from 1 species
AGUUUGAUCCUGGCUCAGAUUGAACGCUGGCGGCAUGCCUUACACAUGCAAGUCGAACGGCAGCGCGGACUUCGGGUCUGGCGGCGAGUGGCGAACGGGUGAGUAAUACAUCGGAACGUACCCUGUUGUGGGGGAUAACUAGUCGAAAGAUUAGCUAAUACCGCAUACGACCUGAGGGUGAAAGUGGGGGACCGCAAGGCCUCACGCAGCAGGAGCGGCCGAUGUCUGAUUAGCUAGUUGGUGGGGUAAAGGCCACCAAGGCGACGAUCAGUAGCUGGUCUGAGAGGACGAUCAGCCACACUGGGACUGAGACACGGCCCAGACUCCUACGGGAGGCAGCAGUGGGGAAUUUUGGACAAUGGGGCAACCCUGAUCCAGCAAUGCCGCGUGUGUGAAGAAGGCCUUCGGGUUGUAAAGCACUUUUGUCCGGAAAGAAAUCGCGCUGGUUAAUACCUGGCGUGGAUGACGGUACCGGAGGAAUAAGCACCGGCUAACUACGUG